rnacentral:rRNA from 1 species
GACGAACGCUGGCGGCGCGCUUAACACAUGCAAGUCGAACGGAAAGGCCUGCUUUCCCUUGUGGAUUGCGGGUACUCGAGUGGCGAACGGGUGAGUAACACGUGAGUGAUCUGCCCCCAACUUGGGUAUAAGCCUGGGAAACUGGGUCUAAUUCCCGAUAGGACUGCAGGGUGGUGCCUGUGGUGGAACACGAUUUUCUAGUGGUUGGGGAUGAGCUCGCGGCCUAUCAGCUUGUUGGUGGGGUAAUGGCCUACCAAGGCGGCGACGGGGAGCCGGCCUGGGAGGGUGGACGGCCACAUUGGGACUGAGAUACGGCCCAGACUCCUACGGGAGGCAGCAGUGGGGAAUAUUGCACAAUGGGCGGAAGCCUGAUGCAGCGACGCCGCGUGGGGGAUGACGGCCUUCGGGUUGUAAACUCCUUUCGACCGCGAGGAAGCCACCUGGUUGGAAGGGUGGUGACGGUAGUGGUAGAAGAAGCACCGGCUAACUACGUG